UACAGAGGGUGCUAGCGUUGUUCGGAAUUAUUGGGCGUAAAGAGCUCGUAGGCGGCUUGUCACGUCGGGUGUGAAAGCCCGGGGCUUAACCCCGGGUCUGCAUUCGAUACGGGCUAGCUAGAGUGUGGUAGGGGAGAUCGGAAUUCCUGGUGUAGCGGUGAAAUGCGCAGAUAUCAGGAGGAACACCGGUGGCGAAGGCGGAUCUCUGGGCCAUUACUGACGCUGAGGAGCGAAAGCGUGGGGAGCGAACAGG
rnacentral:rRNA from 1 species